rnacentral:rRNA from 1 species
GCUUGCUCCCUGAUGUUAGCGGCGGACGGGUGAGUAACACGUGGGUAACCUGCCUGUAAGACUGGGAUAACUCCGGGAAACCGGGGCUAAUACCGGAUGCUUGUUUGAACCGCAUGGUUCAAACAUAAAAGGUGGCUUCGGCUACCACUUACAGAUGGACCCGCGGCGCAUUAGCUAGUUGGUGAGGUAAUGGCUCACCAAGGCGACGAUGCGUAGCCGACCUGAGAGGGUGAUCGGCCACACUGGGACUGAGACACGGCCCAGACUCCUACGGGAGGCAGCAGUAGGGAAUCUUCCGCAAUGGACGAAAGUCUGACGGAGCAACGCCGCGUGAGUGAUGAAGGUUUUCGGAUCGUAAAGCUCUGUUGUUAGGGAAGAACAAGUACCGUUCGAAUAGGGCGGUACCUUGACGGUACCUAACCAGAAAGCCACGGCUAACUACGUGCCAGCAGCCGCGGUAAUACGUAGGUGGCAAGCGUUGUCCGGAAUUAUUGGGCGUAAAGGGCUCGCAGGCGGUUUCUUAAGUCUGAUGUGAAAGCCCCCGGCUCAACCGGGGAGGGUCAUUGGAAACUGGGGAACUUGAGUGCAGAAGAGGAGAGUGGAAUUCCACGUGUAGCGGUGAAAUGCGUAGAGAUGUGGAGGAACACCAGUGGCGAAGGCGACUCUCUGGUCUGUAACUGACGCUGAGGAGCGAAAGCGUGGGGAGCGAACAGGAUUAGAUACCCUGG